rnacentral:tRNA from 1 species
GGGGCUGUGGCUCAGUGGAAGAGCCUCUGCUUUGCAUACGCAAGGUCCCAGGUUUGAUCCCCAGCAUCUCCA